rnacentral:siRNA from 1 species
UUCCCUUUCUACAUUGUCAAUGGU